CCUACGGGAGGCCGCAGUGGGGAAUAUUGGACAAUGGGCGAAAGCCUGAUCCAGCCAUGCCGCGUGUGUGAAGAAGGCCUUCGGGUUGUAAAGCACUUUCAGUGGGGAAGAAAGCCUUGGGGCUAAUACCCUCGAGGAAGGACAUCACCCACAGAAGAAGCACCGGCUAACUCCGUGCCAGCAGCCGCGGUAAUACGGAGGGUGCGAGCGUUAAUCGGAUUUACUGGGCGUAAAGCGCGCGUAGGCGGUCUGAUAAGCCGGUUGUGAAAGCCCCGGGCUCAACCUGGGAACGGCAUCCGGAACUGUCAGGCUAGAGUGCAGGAGAGGAAGGUAGAAUUCCCGGUGUAGCGGUGAAAUGCGUAGAGAUCGGGAGGAAUACCAGUGGCGAAGGCGGCCUUCUGGACUGACACUGACGCUGAGGUGCGAAAGCGUGGGUAGCAAACAGGAUUAGAUACCCCAGUAGUC
rnacentral:rRNA from 1 species